GAUGAACGCUAGCGGCAGGCUUAAUACAUGCAAGUCGAGGGGUAGCAAGAUUGUAGCAAUACAAUUGUUGACGACCGGCAAACGGGUGCGGAACACGUACACAACCUUCCUACAAGUGGGGAAUAGCCCAGAGAAAUUUGGAUUAAUACCCCGUAACAUAGCGAUGUGGCAUCACAUUGCUAUUAUAGCUUCGGCGCUUGUUGAUGGGUGUGCGGCUGAUUAGAUAGUUGGCGGGGUAACGGCCCACCAAGUCUACGAUCAGUAGCUGAUGUGAGAGCAUGAUCAGCCACACGGGCACGGGGACACGGGCCCGACGCCGACGGGAGGCAGCAGUAAGGAAUAUUGGACAAUGGACGCAAGUCUGGUCCAGCCAUGCCGCGUGAAGGAUUAAGGUCCUCUGGAUUGUAAACUUCUUUUAUAAGGGACGAAAAAAGGUCUUUCUAGAUCGUCUGACGGUACCUUAUGAAUAAGCACCGGCUAACUCCGUGCCAGCAGCCGCGGUAAUAC
rnacentral:rRNA from 1 species